UACAUAGGGUGCAAGCGUUGUCCGGAAUUAUUGGGCGUAAAGAGCUCGUAGGUCGCUUGCCGCGUCGAUUGUGAAAAUCUGAGGCUCAACCUCAGACCUGCAGUCGAUACGGGCAAACUAGAGUGUGGUAGGGGAGACUGGAAUUCCUGGUGUAGCGGUGGAAUGCGCAGAUAUCAGGAGGAACACCAAUGGCGAAGGCAGGUCUCUGGGCCAUAACUGACACUGAGGAGCGAAAGCGCGGGGAGCGAACAGGAUUAGAUACCCUGGUAGUCCGCGCCGUAAACGAUGGGCACUAGCUGUGAGAGCCUUCCACGGUUCUCGCGACGCAGCAAACGCAUUAAGUGCCCCGCCUGGGGAGUACGAUCGCAAGAUUAAAACUCAAAGGAAUUGACGGGGCCCCGCACAAGCAGCGGAGCAUGCGGCUUAAUUCGACGCAACGCGAAGAACCUUACCAAGGCUUGACAUAUAGCGAAAAGUGGCAGAGAUGUCAUGUCCGCAAGGGCGCUAUACAGGUGGUGCAUGGUUGUCGUCAGCUCGUGUCGUGAGAUGUUGGGUUAAGUCCCGCAACGAGCGCAACCCUCGUUCUGUGUUACCAGCAUUCAGUUGGGGACUCACAGGAGACUGCCGGGGUCAACUCGGAGGAAGGUGGGGAUGACGUCAAAUCAUCAUGCCCCUUAUGUCUUGGGCUGCACGCAUGCUACAAUGGCCGGUACAAAGUGCUGCGAAAUCGUAAGAUUUAGCGAAUCACAUAAAGCCGGUCUCAGUUCGGAUUGAGGUCUGCAACUCGACCUCAUGAAGUCGGAGUUGCUAGUAAUCGUAGAUCAGCAACGCUACGGUGAAUACGUUCCCGGGGCU
rnacentral:rRNA from 1 species